rnacentral:lncRNA from 10 species
CGGCGCCUGCGGAGACUGCGCAGCGCCCGGCUGGCCGGCAGCCAGCGCACGGCCCGCGGCAACGGCGCACAGCCGCUUGGAGAAUCCCACUGGCUCCCGCACCGCCCCUCCGCGCCCCCACGCUCCGCUCGCCCCGUGGCGGCAUGAGAGCGAGCCUGUGAUUGGACAGGGCCUGGCGGUGAAAGGUUAAUCCCGGCCCCCCAGCCACUCAGGAGCAGGGAGACAGCGGGCGCGCGCGCGGAGGCCGGAGAGGCGUUUGCGGCCCAGCGCCUGGACUGGACCUUGGCGUUGGGCCGCAGUUGCCCGGAGUUUUUGGGGCCCCCGGGAACCCGCGCGCCGAGGCCGGCUAAGUUUGGCAGACUCUCUGAGCUCUCGGAAUUCGACUGCCUCCAUUGUUGCUCCUUCUGGCACCCACAGACCGUAACGUGGCCGUAAUUGUUUCCCGGAGAGCUUAGCUUCCCUCUGAGCACCUCCCUCCCCUUUUUAAAGUACCUUCCCACUCGCCUGCGUUUCCUCGCGUUAGUGGUGCAGGGGCCUCCGCAUUUGGGGAAAUAACAAACACCCACUUCCGCCCCCCACCCCAACCGGGAUCCCCAGAUAAUGAGAAAUAGAUGGUGGCCCUCUGUUUGUAAGCUGUUCAUUUGCAUAGGUCGGAACCGCGCACCACAGCUUGAAGCUAGGAAUUAAAAUAUCGGUGGGAAUUAAAUAAGUGGCUGGCUUAAAGAACAUCUUCUUAAUUUAUCCCCAAAUGUAGACAUCUCUUCAGUGGACCCCCUGAUAGGCCGGUUUGCUCCAGAAGAGACGGGGUUUCACCAUGUUGGCCAUGAUGGUCUCGAUUUCUGACCUUGUCAUCCGUCCGCCUUGGCCUCCCAAAGUGCUGGGAUUACGGGCGUGAGCCACCGUACCCAGCCUGCUUCCUGUUUUAACAGACGAAGAAAUGGAAUAACUUCCAACAACACAGGUUGGAGCUGAAGGAGUGCCCAGGCUGCGGAUGGAGGAAGGACGUGCUCGGGAGAAGGUGAAGAUGGGAGAGAAGCAAGAUCUUCUGUGUUUGGACCAAGGACACAUUUCCUUACUCCAUAGCAGCUGUGCAUGGAAUAUGGAUGUGUGGUCUGGAUGUACAGACACCAUUUUGGACCAUAAAGACAAGGACGAUUGUCUAAGGAUGACACAGCCAGAGCACUGAGAGUGGCGAGAAGGACAGGGGAGCUGCUGUGCCAAGCAGGACUGUCUCUCUUAAGAGAAAAAUAAAAUUUAUUGGUGUUUAAACCAUUGCUUUUUUGGGCUGU